CUCAGAUUGAACGCUGGCGGCAGGCCUAACACAUGCAAGUCGAGCGGUAGCACAGAGAGCUUGCUCUCGGGUGACGAGCGGCGGACGGGUGAGUAAUGUCUGGGAAACUGCCUGAUGGAGGGGGAUAACUACUGGAAACGGUAGCUAAUACCGCAUAACGUCGCAAGACCAAAGUGGGGGACCUUCGGGCCUCAUGCCAUCAGAUGUGCCCAGAUGGGAUUAGCUAGUAGGUGAGGUAACGGCUCACCUAGGCGACGAUCCCUAGCUGGUCUGAGAGGAUGACCAGCCACACUGGAACUGAGACACGGUCCAGACUCCUACGGGAGGCAGCAGUGGGGAAUAUUGCACAAUGGGCGCAAGCCUGAUGCAGCCAUGCCGCGUGUAUGAAGAAGGCCUUCGGGUUGUAAAGUACUUUCAGCGGGGAGGAAGGCGAUAAGGUUAAUAACCUUGUCGAUUGACGUUACCCGCAGAAGAAGCACCGGCUAACUCCGUGCCAGCAGCCGCGGUAAUACGGAGGGUGCAAGCGUUAAUCGGAAUUACUGGGCGUAAAGCGCACGCAGGCGGUCUGUCAAGUCGGAUGUGAAAUCCCCGGGCUCAACCUGGGAACUGCAUUCGAAACUGGCAGGCUAGAGUCUUGUAGAGGGGGGUAGAAUUCCAGGUGUAGCGGUGAAAUGCGUAGAGAUCUGGAGGAAUACCGGUGGCGAAGGCGGCCCCCUGGACAAAGACUGACGCUCAGGUGCGAAAGCGUGGGGAGCAAACAGGAUUAGAUACCCUGGUAGUCCACGCCGUAAACGAUGUCGAUUUGGAGGUUGUGCCCUUGAGGCGUGGCUUCCGGAGCUAACGCGUUAAAUCGACCGCCUGGGGAGUACGGCCGCAAGGUUAAAACUCAAAUGAAUUGACGGGGGCCCGCACAAGCGGUGGAGCAUGUGGUUUAAUUCGAUGCAACGCGAAGAACCUUACCUGGUCUUGACAUCCACAGAACUUAGCAGAGAUGCUUUGGUGCCUUCGGGAACUGUGAGACAGGUGCUGCAUGGCUGUCGUCAGCUCGUGUUGUGAAAUGUUGGGUUAAGUCCCGCAACGAGCGCAACCCUUAUCCUUUGUUGCCAGCGGUUAGGCCGGGAACUCAAAGGAGACUGCCAGUGAUAAACUGGAGGAAGGUGGGGAUGACGUCAAGUCAUCAUGGCCCUUACGACCAGGGCUACACACGUGCUACAAUGGCGCAUACAAAGAGAAGCGACCUCGCGAGAGCAAGCGGACCUCAUAAAGUGCGUCGUAGUCCGGAUUGGAGUCUGCAACUCGACUCCAUGAAGUCGGAAUCGCUAGUAAUCGUAGAUCAGAAUGCUACGGUGAAUACGUUCCCGGGCCUUGUACACACCGCCCGUCACACCAUGGGAGUGGGUUGCAAAAGAAGUAGGUAGCUUAACCUUCGGGAGGGCGCUUACCACUUUGUGAUU
rnacentral:rRNA from 1 species